UGUGAGCGUGCGGGCGUGAGGCCGGAAAUGGCGUCGUAGGGGUGCCGCCUGCGAGUAGGAGCUCCAGUUGGAAAGAUGAAGAGUAGGUCAGCAAGGACUAGUGCCAAAUGCAGGAAGAGGAGGAGUCAUUUUGUCCAAAAUUGUGCCAAGAUUUUCAUAAAGUAAAUUAAAUCCUGGAGAUGUUCCAGAAGACAAUCAAAGUUUGGCUAUGUGACCAUCAGCAACAAUAGUGGUGAAUAUAGAGUGAGUUAAUACAGUACAAAUGAUAUCCCUUUAUUUACAGGGUGGGAAGAGAAUGUUUACUUGAAAAUAGUCUUGUUCUGUAGAUUCUAA